CUGAUUGGUCUCGACACAGCGGCACAAGGUGGCCAUGGGGAGGGUCUGUGCCGCCACGGAGAGGAUGAUCGGCCCCCCACACUCCGCGAGGCGGCAGCAGAGACUCCUACGGGAGGCAGCAGUGGGGAAUAUUGGACAAUGGGGGCAACCCUGAUCCAGCAAUGCCGCGUGUGUGAAGAAGGUUUUCGGAUUGUAAAGCACUUUCGGCGGGGACGAUGAUGACGGUACCCGCAGAAGAAGCCCCGGCUAACUUC
rnacentral:rRNA from 1 species